AAUGAACGCUGGCGGCAGGCCUAAUACAUGCAAGUCGAGCGGACGAAUGGGGAUCUUUCUUGGAUUAAGUGGCGGACGGGCGAGUAAUUCACACGUAUAUGCCCGACCGAGGGGGAUGACGUACCGACAGGGAAGCGAAUACAACAUCCGUUAAGAGAUUGAACCUGGUGGAUCUUUGGAGCAAGACCUAUUUGAUGACACUAAUAGGUAGUACCGCGCCGGAUUAGCUAGUUGGUACGGUAACGGCUUACCAAGGCAACGAUGCGUAGCCGAUCUGAGAGGGUGAUCGGCCACACUGGAACUGAGACACGGUCCAGACUCCUACGGGAGGCAGCAGUGGGGAAUAUUGGACAAUGGGCGAAAGCCUGAUCCAGCCAUGCCGCGUGUGUGAUGAAGGUCUUCGGAUUGUAAAGCACUUUUAUUUGGGAGGAAGAGAAGUAAGUUUAUACAUUGCCGUCUUGACGUUACCAAAAGAGUAAGCACCGGCUAACUUCGUG
rnacentral:rRNA from 1 species